CAAGUAGAGGAGAAAUUACUAUAGUAGAUAUAUGAUAUCAAACUAUAAGUUAAGAAUAUAAUAUGAUUAUAUUCAUUAUUUAAUUAAAUAGGCGGUUAUAAGAUAAUUGUUCGAGAAUUUCUCUGGAAUCGUGCGAAAGUGGACAAAUUGAAUUCGGUUAUUGUAAUUGAAGAAUAAAAUGAAAAUUGGUUUCAUUUUGUAAGAGACGCAGAAAUUCGCUCAUGGUAUGAAUCCAUACGAUCGCUUAACGUUGAGAGCCUGUAUGAUAGCGCCCAUCGUUCUAAACAAUUGCACACCCGUGCACUAAACGAUCGCACGUGAUUUCUAAAUGAUCGGUUACUUUUUCUAAACAAUCGCUUAGCAUGCCGAGCAGACCUAAACGAUCGCUUAUUAUUUGCUAGACGAUCGCUUAGUAAAACCUAGAUGAUUGUGUAUCUUUUCCUAAACGACAAGCACCCGACUAUACGAUAGGCAUCUACUAUCUCCCACUUGCUUGUUUGUACUAUACGAUCGUCUUUUCCUCCUCCCUCUACCAAUUCUAUCAAAUUCCACCAUUUGAAUUCUCACUCCGAGAAUACCAAGGACUUUGGGUGGUGGUGUCGUCCCCAGUUGCUGUUGGUUCGUACAUUGCCGUUCGUGUAAACGACCGUGGUACUGUUAAGUGACUGCUUGCUAGGCGAUAAAGAGCAUAGAGGAGUUGCUUCCACUGGACUGAGUUCUAGUGAAGAUUGUCUUCAACUGGUAGCGAAAGGUGAGGAGUUCCAGGGUGUUGCUAAGGUCAAGAUCCACCACACCAUAGUCACACUUUCAAUUUUAGAGUUGUUGUUGUAAACUUUGUAAUUAAGUAUGGGAGUUAUAUAAACGUUAUACUAUUUAUAAUAAAAUAAGUUUAGUCAAA